rnacentral:rRNA from 1 species
UACGGAGGGGGCUAGCGUUGUUCGGAAUUACUGGGCGUAAAGCGCGCGUAGGCGGACCUGCAAGUCGGGGGUGAAAUCCCGGGGCUCAACCCCGGAACUGCCUUUGAUACUGGGUGUCUGGAGGUCGAGAGAGGUGAGUGGAAUUCCGAGUGUAGAGGUGAAAUUCGUAGAUAUUCGGAGGAACACCAGUGGCGAAGGCGGCUCACUGGCUCGAUACUGACGCUGAGGUGCGAAAGCGUGGGGAGCAAACAGG